GACAGGGUGUGCAGGGCCAACGUCAACAUGAAUCAUCUACGCCACAGGCUUGUACAACAAGGAGGGAAAAGAUUGAGGAGCGGGAUGUGGACCAGCUUAUCCGAGAGAAGAAACCAGACUGACGAACCACUCACCUAUUGGGGACUUGACCCAGCAGCUCUUCUUCCCCCAUCAUGCCCAGCAGACUGGUCCAACAUUUUUCAAAGCUCCACAGAAAUGUGAUGCCUGGAAAUUGGCUGUCUUUGGAGUAUGUGCAGAAGGCUCAGGACUACAUAUUGCGGAUUGAGAUAUCUAGGAUAGCCAUUAGGAGCUCCUUGGCCAUUUUCCAUCCAAAACAACCUCAGAUGUUCAUGGACGCUUUACAAG